rnacentral:rRNA from 1 species
UGGGGAAUCUUGCACAAUGGGCGCAAGCCUGAUGCAGCCAUGCCGCGUGAAUGAUGAAGGCCUUAGGGUUGUAAAAUUCUUUCGCCAGGGAUGAUAAUGACAGUACCUGGUAAAGAAGCCCCGGCAAACUUCGUGCCAGCAGCCGCGGUAAUACAGAGGGUGCAAACGCUGCUCGGAAUGACUGGGCGUAAAGCGCGCGCAGGUGGCCCGUUAAGUCGGCUGUGAAAUCCCCUGGCUCAACCAGGGAAGUGCAGUCGAUACUGGCGGGCUCGAGUCCCGGAGAGGGUGGUAGAAUUCCCAGUGUAGAGGUGAAAUUCGUAGAUAUUGGGAGGAAUACCGGUGGCGAAGGCGACCGCCUGGACGGGUACUGACACUGAGGCGCGAAAGCGUGGGGAGCAAACAGGAUUAGAUACCCGUGUAGUCC